AACUUUCCUCGAGCCGAGAAAAGCGAAUUAAAAAUCUGUGACAUCACCACAAUGUAAAGUUUAUUGGCCCAGCGGGAACUCGCGGGCAGGGCCAGCAGGGGAAACACUACUGCGCAUAUUCAGUGGGCCGCACAAUGCAGAAGCAAACUCGGAAGCUAGAAACUUUUUUUGGCCAUUGGUCCAAUAUCCAGCUAGUUUUUAGUUUUUUUUCUAGUUUUUACUGCUUUGUCAAGCGGAUGAUGGACUAAUUAAAAAAAUAAUUGAAGAUGGAAUAUAAAAUUAAACAAAGAAGAGACAAGAAAAUUCAGGGGUAAGUAACUGGACCUUAAUGUUUUUCAUGCUAUUGUUAGCUAGCUAGCCAACUUUAACAAGCCUAACUCAGGAUACUGUAACUUAACAUUAGCUAGCUACAUUUACGGCUUGUUGCUAGAUAGGCUACACUCUCAUUAGCUAUUUCAGAAUGAUUUGGUAUUUUAAUCAAGUGACUUAAACUUUGUGACAGGAUACUUUUUAUUUGAGAGUGAUUUUGUUCAUCUAAUCAAGUUGCUAACUAUAGUGUAGCAGAGUUGAAAUGCUUUCACUUGCCAUCACCAUUACUCCCCAUUUUAUUUUAUUUUAUUUUUUAUGAAGUAUUUUCCCCAUUUCAUUCAACAUUCUUUGCAAUUCUCCAUGGGGACUUGUUUUUCUGUAUUUAUUAAUUUUAUGCAUUGGUGCUCCCUCAUGGAGCCCAUGCAGACUUGAGUAGUGCAACCCAUUCCAGCCAGCUAAUCUAACGUUUGUCAGUCCAUUGCCACGUGGCAAUGUAAUGUAACAGACUGUGUUCAUGUUAGUGUUAAAUUGUUAUGAUUGUUACUGUAAGAAACGUUCGUUUAGUUCAGACAUAUGGUCUGUUGAGUUUGCAGUACUGAUAUUCCCAGGCUGUCAGUGAACAUGUUGUCAGCUUAGAUGCUGUGAAGCCUGUUGUGUCAUGUGAGCUACCUGUAAAAGUGACCAGUGGGAGAGAACACACCUGCAAUUGGCUGAGAGUGGGGAGGGGGGGUUGUUCUUUCUUCUUUGGUGUUAUGAUAGGCUAAGUCUAAGCUAGUGUAGAGUUCAUGGCAGGUCUUUUUGUCAUUUUGGCAUUGGCUACAGCCCACGGUAGCCUGUGUUGUAGUGCGCAAUAAAGUUGCAGCAAAAACUGACUAACGUCUCAUCGUCUGCUUAUCAAGGGACGUUACAAUAAUUUAUUCUCAUGUUUUUUAAUCACUUUUACUUUUUCACUUAGUGCAAGACAAUAUGAGGCAGAUUUAAUAGACAUUUUAUCUUUUUUGCAUAUACAACAACUGUACACUAGGUCUCAAAUUGUUCAUGCAGUUCAGUGGAUAUUUUUAUCCAAAGCACCUUAGUGUACAAUGAUUGUGCGGACUUUUAGAAUGUAUCUGUCUCUGCCCUUUUGCCAAAGGAAAUGUGUGUAGGGGAGGAUUCAACGUCCGUUCAGACCCAUGUGAACGUGCUACAGAGUACUUGAAGACACAUCCAGAAAUCUUGACUGUCAAAGAUCGCAUGGCACAAGCAUUCUCCUGGAAUUGUUGUGAAAUCAUGGAAGGGAUGCCCGUGGAGGAUGUACUCAACAAAUACCCAUGUACUUAAGGACACCUACUGGAGAAUCGACUUAAGGGCCAGGCUUAUCCUCUUGCCAUCCAUCUUCAGAGAAAAGAUUGAACAGUCAUCACUAUGCGAGAGGUGCUGCAAAUCAUCAAAAAUUUUGUCAAACUUCAGGACUGAUCCCCGGGAAGUGCUUAUACUGUACACAAGAGGCUCUAAUAUUAUGG